rnacentral:rRNA from 1 species
UACGAAGGGGGCGAGCGUUGUUCGGAUUUACUGGGCGUAAAGGGCGCGCAGGCGGUUCUGUUUGUCGAGUGUGAAAGCCCCGGGCUCAACCUGGGAACUGCGCUCGAAACGGCGGAACUAGAGUUCGGGAGAGGAGAGUGGAAUUCCCAGUGUAGAGGUGAAAUUCGUAGAUAUUGGGAAGAACACCGGUGGCGAAGGCGGCGACCUGGUCCUUUACUGACGCUGAGGCGCGAAAGCGUGGGGAGCAAACAGG